UACGUAGGGUGCAAGCGUUAAUCGGAAUUACUGGGCGUAAAGCGUGCGCAGGCGGUUAUGUAAGACAGAUGUGAAAUGCCCGGGCUUAACCUGGGAACUGCAUUUGUGACUGCAUGGCUAGAGUUUGGCAGAGGGGGGUAGAAUUCCACGUGUAGCAGUGAAAUGCGUAGAUAUGUGGAGGAACACCGAUGGCGAAGGCAGCCCCCCUGGGUCAAGACUGACGCUCAUGCACGAAAGCGUGGGGACAAACAGG
rnacentral:rRNA from 1 species